UACGUAGGUCCCGAGCGUUGUCCGGAUUUAUUGAGCGUAAAGCGAGCGCAGGUGGUUUAUUAAGUCUGGUGUAAAAGGCAGUGGCUCAACCAUUGUAUGCAUUGGAAACUGGUAGACUUGAGUGCAGGGGAGGAGAGUGGAAUUCCAUGUGUAGCGGUGAAAUGCGUAGAUAUAUGGAGGAACACCGGUGGCGAAAGCGGCUCUCUGGCCUGUAACUGACACUGAGGCUCGAAAGCGUGGGGAGCAAACAGG
rnacentral:rRNA from 1 species